rnacentral:rRNA from 1 species
UGCGUAGGGGGCAAGCGUUGUCCGGAAUCAUUGGGCGUAAAGCGCGUGUAGGCGGUUCGGUAAGUCGGCUGUGAAAGUCCAGGGCUCAACCCUGGGAUGCCGGUCGAUACUGCCGGACUAGAGUUCGGAAGAGGCGAGUGGAAUUCCCGGUGUAGCGGUGAAAUGCGCAGAUAUCGGGAGGAACACCAAUGGCGAAGGCAGCUCGCUGGGACGUUACUGACGCUGAGACGCGAAAGCGUGGGGAGCAAACAGG